rnacentral:rRNA from 1 species
CACGUAGGGACCAAGCGUUGUCCGGAUUCAUUGGGCGUAAAGAGCUCGUAGGCGGUUCGAUAAGUCGGGUGUGAAACCUCCAGGCUCAACCUGGAGACGCCACCCGAUACUGUCGUGACUAGAGUCCAGUAGGGGAGCGUGGAAUUCCUGGUGUAGCGGUGAAAUGCGCAGAUAUCAGGAGGAACACCAACGGCGAAGGCGGGUCUCUGGGCCGAUACUGACGCUGAGGCACGAAAGCAUGGGGAGCAAACAGG